UAUCAGCAGGGCUCAGCUCCCUUUCCCUUCUCCAGUCUGCCUUUCUAUGUCCAUUGAUUUUAUCCUUCCUACAACAGAUUCCUACCUGGCAGCAAUAUAGCCCCAGAGUUCCAUGACUCAUAUCCACACUCCAACACCUAGAAGAAAAAAGAACAAGCUUUUUAGACAGUAAGGAGCUCUGAGAUUCACUCUGACUGGACUAGCUGAGAUCUCAUGCCUAUGAUUGGCCAUACCAGUUGGUUAAGGGAUUAUCACAAGUAUUACUAGCAUAGCCUUUAUUGCGUUGAACUACAAUUCUGGUUUUCUCAUUGCUGUCUCCAAUAGAUGGUGUUAUGUUAUUCUCCUUUAUAUCCCCACUGCCUAGGACAUAGUCAUACUCAAGAAAUGUGAAUUGGAUUUUCAAAGCACAGGGUUAGUUGUCCUCUUCUCUUAUCAAACUCUUGUGCUAGCUUAAUCCGGGCCUCAGCAGUCUGUGGGCAUAAAAGGUGCCCCAUUAAUAGCUGUAAAUACAUAAAUAAAUACCAAAGCAUGGGGGCAGGGCCCAGCUGUGUCAGGACCACUCAGACUCUUAUGACACAUCCAGAGUCCCCAGCCCCACCCCAACCCACCCAGUCCACGAGAAGGAACGGGGUGGGGCCCAAAUCUGUGAGUUCCCAAGGGAGGCCUGUGUGCAGUAAGUUGUGGGGAGUGGCGCUGGCACGGCUGGAAACAUCUUGGGGUUUGAAGCCAGAGCCUCAGGUGAGACUCAAGGGUCCCUGGGACU
rnacentral:lncRNA from 1 species